GAUGAACGCUGGCGGCGUGCCUAAUACAUGCAAGUCGAGCGAACAGAUGAGGAGCUUGCUCCUCUGACGUUAGCGGCGGACGGGUGAGUAACACGUGGAUAACCUACCUAUAAGACUGGGAUAACUUCGGGAAACCGGAGCUAAUACCGGAUAAUAUAUUGAACCGCAUGGUUCAAUAGUGAAAGACGGUUUUGCUGUCACUUAUAGAUGGAUCCGCGCCGCAUUAGCUAGUUGGUAAGGUAACGGCUUACCAAGGCAACGAUGCGUAGCCGACCUGAGAGGGUGAUCGGCCACACUGGAACUGAGACACGGUCCAGACUCCUACGGGAGGCAGCAGUAGGGAAUCUUCCGCAAUGGGCGAAAGCCUGACGGAGCAACGCCGCGUGAGUGAUGAGGGUCUUCGGAUCGUAAAACUCUGUUAUUAGGGAAGAACAAAUGUGUAAGUAACUAUGCACGUCUUGACGGUACCUAAUCAGAAAGCCACGGCUAACUACGU
rnacentral:rRNA from 1 species